UACGAGGGGGGCAAGCGUUGUUCGGAUUUAUUGGGCGUAAAGGGUGCGUAGGCGGUGCGGUAAGUCUGGUGUGAAAUCUCCGGGCUCAACUCGGAGUCUGCAUCAGAAACUGCCGUGCUGGAGUGUGGGAGAGGUGAGUGGAAUUCCCGGUGUAGCGGUGAAAUGCGUAGAGAUCGGGAGGAACACCUGCGGCGAAAGCGGCUCACUGGACCAUAACUGACGCUGAUGCACGAAAGCUAGGGGAGCAAACAGG
rnacentral:rRNA from 1 species